rnacentral:tRNA from 1 species
GUUACUUUGGCAGAAUAGUGCCUUAAAUUUAGAAUUUAAUUAUGUAUGUAUUAUACAAGUAAUA